GAUUUCUUUUGAAGAUUAGCUUGACAACGUUAGAGAAUGUGCUUAUUCCUGUACUCUUCCGUAAAUCAAUAAACCAGAUUCAUAGACUUCCUAUUAAGAAACUUGAGCAAUGGAUGUGAGUUCUCAUUGCUUCACAUCUUCACCAGCAUUUGGUGUCAUCAGUGUUUCAGAUUUGGGCCGUUCUAAUAGCAGCAACCAGGAGAAGAAAAGAAUGAGAAAAAGAAUCCAAUUCCUAUUUCAUAUUCCAUAAUCAGGACAAGAAUAAGAAGAUGGAAACACUUAAGGCAGAGGAUUGAAGUGACCCCUUUUCUACAAUAAUAGAAGGCUGGAGCCUCACCUUCAAGGGACCAUCUUUAUCUGCCACCAGAUUAUACAGCACAGUCUGAGGAAGAAGAUCCUGGCAAGUAUCUAGCAAUUCUAUAUUCAUUAUCCUCCCACUCUAGCCCAUGCUUAGGAGUGAGUGGAGCAAGGAAGGUUACAUAACGAGGGAAGGCCUAGGAAAUCCUUUUCCCUUCUCCAAAUGGUCACUUGCUGGAGAUUACUGAAAUUCUACUUUUGGAGUUUUAUUUCUUUGGGUUGAAACAGUGAAUUUGAUUCGUGCAAAUGGCCCUGGAAGCUUUACCAUGUCCUUUGUUUUAAGAAAUCACUGUAAAUUUCUUUAUUAGAUCCUUUUUAUCCAGAUAGUUGGAAGAAAGUGUCUGGAUGGUCACCAAGCAGUUGAGCGUAGGAAUGGGAGAUGUAGGACAUUGGAUGUCCUGGGGAUUGGAGUUACGUCAGGGAGACUUGAGAGAUGAAGGAGGAUACUCUAGGUACUUCCUCUGUUUCAUGGUUUUGUCUCUGUUAACUUUAUUGCUGGGUUUUUCUCAGAAUCUUUAUGAAACCAGUACCCAAUUGUACAUGCCAAGUUGGAUACUAAACAUACAAUUUAGAUGGAUGAGUCCUGUGCCCUUUGAUGGCUUAUAACAAAACCAAACAACUGACCAGA